AAUUUGGUGCCUGAUAAAAAGGAUGACUUCGAUACAGUCAAUCAUGUUGCUAGUCAACUCAAAUUA
rnacentral:tRNA from 1 species